rnacentral:rRNA from 1 species
AUUGAACGCUGGCGGCAGGCCUAACACAUGCAAGUCGAACGAGUGGCGGACGGGUGAGUAAUGUCUGGGAAACUGCCUGAUGGAGGGGGCUAACUACUGGAAACGGUAGCUAAUACCGCAUACCAUCGGAUGUGCCCAGAUGGGAUUAGCUAGUAGGUGGGGUAAAGGCUCACCUAGGCGACGAUCCCUAGCAGGUCUGAGAGGAUGACCAGCCACACGUGAACUGAGACACGGUCCACACGCCGCUGGGAGGUAGCAGUGGUGAAUAUUUGCCAAUGGGAGGAAGCCUGAUGUAGCCAUGCCGCGUGUAGGAAGAAGGCCUUCGGGUUUUAAAGUACGUGCAUCGGGGAGGCGUUACCCGCAGAAGAAGCACCGGCUAACUCCGGGCCAGCAGCCGCGGUAAUAC